GAAAGCUGUGCUAAUACCGCAUACGCCCUGAGGGGGAAAGCGGGGGAUCGAAAGACCUCGCGCGAUUAGAGCGGCCGAUGCCUGAUUAGCUAGUUGGUGGGGUAAAAGCCCACCAAGGCGACGAUCAGUAGCUGGUCUGAGAGGACGAUCAGCCACACUGGGACUGAGACACGGCCCAGACUCCUACGGGAGGCAGCAGUGGGGAAUUUUGGACAAUGGGGGCAACCCUGA
rnacentral:rRNA from 1 species